AUGAUUGGUUGGUUGCUGUUCCCGCCCCCGACCAGUCGCCAUUUUAUUGAGGAGAGCCGACUGCUAGAAGGCGGAGGGAGCAGCGGUUUCGGGACUGGCUUUGUGGAGGUGACCGCGGCAGAGACAGAGGGUCCCCCUUGCCCACCAUGCGGCCUGGGACCUCGGGCAUCGGAGCGGGGAGACGAACGAAGGGAAACGAGCGGGACAACCAUGAGUGCUCUGUGCGGUGACAAGGAGAAUCUGGCACUGGGCCUCCGGGAGCCUGGAAGCAGGAGGUUCCUCCCUUUCCUCCGAAUGAAUGGUCCUUUGAGUUUCCUGGUCUAUGACACUACCCCUCCACCCCCACCCCCCCCCAGCCCCGGAACCAUGAAAGGAAUCUAGGAAAUUUGAAUGCGUCAAGGUACUGAGCGAUUUUUAGAGCAUGACAGACCUGUGAGUGAGGAAAGUAGUCAUUCUUUCUUUGAUCAUUUGGCUCUCAUAUGUGUACAGGAGAAAUGUGCUCGCCGUCUCUCGUGGCAGAAUGGAGUAGUGUGUACUUGGCCAUAGUCCAUGAUAUUAAACUGUUGUAGGAACUGUUGACUUUCAAAGAUGGGACUUCUGGAGUCAGUCACCCGCCCCUCUGAGUUACUAGAAUCUAGCUGAAUGGC
rnacentral:lncRNA from 1 species